rnacentral:lncRNA from 10 species
CAGCAACUGCUAACAGCGAGGAGGGGUUUUGAAAGGUAAAGGCCAUUAGCUUGGAGGCAGAAGACAGACCUCCCUGACUGCUGAAUUCCUGCCGGCCUGAAAUUGGAGCAUUCCAAGCUCCUCAGAUGAGUCAUAAGCCACCAAGAUUGUGAGCCUCUGGGCUUCUCCCAGCUUGUAGGAGAAAUGCCUUGCAGGUGAAGAUGGUGAGGAAGUUGGCCCUGAAAUAGCCCAGCCCCUCGAAGAGACAAACAGGGAGGAGCAUCAUUCAGGUGCUUCACUGGGAAAUGAACCAGGAUAAUGUUCAUCUUAAAAUAACCUACUUCAAUGAACAUUCGGCCAAAAGACAAAAGGAAGGUAUUGCUAGGUAAUGUGCAGCCACUCUGUCACAGUCUUUUUUUUUUAAAUGAACACAAAUUCCUUGACUGUCUUCUUGCUGAGAGGUGAGGUCUCUGUCCCCCUCCUCUCCCUACUUGAAUCUGGAUGAGCUUGUGACUCACUUAUAACCAAGAAUAUGGAAGAAGUGAUGCUGUGUGAUCUCCUCAUGCCUGGAGCCUGUGAGCCUCUCUCUGAGAAGUCCAGUGCCCCUGAGCCCACCAUGCUGAAGAAGCCACCUGGAGAAGCCCCUGUUGACAGAGAGCCAGCAUCACCUGCCAGUCACCAGAAGGGAGCCAUCUCAGACAUCCAGCCCAGCUGAGCCUUCAACUGACUGCUGCCCCAACCAACAUGUGAACUGCAACCGCAUGAGAGACCCUCAAGUGAGAACCGCCCAGCUGAGCCUUUCCCAAGUUCCUGGCCCACAAAACCCAGAACAAAUUAAAAUGAGUGUUUUAAGCCAUUAAGGAGCAGGGUAAUUUGUUACACAGCAACAGUAACCAGGACACAUUCCCAAACCUAACUAGGAGGAAAUUUCCUCUUGAUAAAAAUGCUGAUUUUUUUAUUCAUCCUAGACCUUCAUAAGUCAGAAUCAUCUGUGGAUAAGGUAUAAGAAUCUGCAUUUUUUUUAAGACAAGCUCUCCCACCCCAGGUGAUUCAGAUGCACAGCCAGGUUUGGAAAUUUAAGACCUUGGAAGAGAGUCACAUUGCCUCUCUCUGAGUCUCAGCUUCCUUGUCUGUGAAUUGGGGAGGAGUGAGAGUUGGUGUGAGUAUCAAAGAAGACGCUGCAGGUAAAGUCUUUAGGGCCAGCCAGGCGUAGUGGCUCAUGCCUGUAAUCCCAGCACUUUGGGAGGCCAAGGCGGGUGGAUCAUGAGGUCAGGAGUUCAGCCUGGCCAAUAUGAUGAAACACUGUCUCUAUUAAAAAUACAAAAAAAUUAGCCAGGCAUGGUGCCAGGUGCCUGUAGUCCCAGCUACUCAGGAGGCUGAGACAGGAGAAUCGCUUGAGCCCAGGAAGCGGAGGUUGCAGUGAGCCGAGAUCACACCACUGCACUCCAGCCUGGGCGACAGAGCAAGACUCUGAUACAGAAAAGGAGAAGAAGACCACAUGCAUACCCACAAGAAGAUGGAGGCAGAGACUGGAGUGAAGAAGCCACAAGCCAAGGAAUGGCUGGAGCCACCAGGAGCUGGUGCUAGCCAGGAUCACUCCCUCCGAAGUCACACCAGAGGGAGGGCUGGAGGGAGAAUCAAAUGAAAGAGAGAGGGAGAGAAAGGAAGGAAGAGAAGGAGGGAGAAUGGAAGGAUGUAUGGAUUUGGAUGUAUGGGUUCCAUUCCUUCUACCCUGGCAAAAGCUUACUCAUCCUUCAGUGUCCAUCCAAAAUGGCAUCUCUUCUUGGGCACCAUCUCCAGAGUCUCCUGCAAGCAGGUAGCUACAUCCCACAAAACAACCACCCAUCUGACCAUGCAAGUGUGUGGGGGAAUGAAGACCAGCCCAGGAAUCUGAGAUGAAUGUUUUGCUUCUUGCUCUGCCACUGACUCACAGGGUACCCCAAGCAAGUCCCUUCACCUCCUCGGUCUCAGUUUCUCCAUUUAUACUACUAAGGCAGUGGACAUGAUGGCCUCAAGUCUCAACAUUUUUAUUCCCUGAAAAGAAACUCUUGGUGCUGAGUGGUCUUCUUCUGCCCUGACAUCUCACCUUUCAAACGCUUGUCUCUUCUCACCCCACCCACCACUUAGCAUGUGCUCUUGGAGAACACCCAGGACUCAGGGUCUCUGCACACAUCAUGAGUCCAGCUCAGCAUUUGAGGUGGAAUCAGAGGAAAGGAAGGAGAGUGGGGAGAAUAGUCAGUAUUUUGGCAAGCUCAUCAUACCUUCCCCCUUUGUAUAGAAACUUCAAACCAUUUCCCUUUGAAGGCACUACCUCCUUCCCCCAGUUAUAAAUGAGUGAAGGUCUCAAGCCUGGACAACCAAAUGCACAGUGAUUGGUUCAACUCUGGACCUGUGACUCAAGCCAGACCAAGGGAGUGACAUGCAGGGCUUUGCCUGGAACUAUUCUGAAAGGGGCACUCUCUUUCUGCUGGGCUACUGAUAAUAUGUGCAUCCGUGAUAGAAGAGCCUGCCUGAUAAUAAAGCCAAUAAGGGAAGAGCAGAGCCAAGAGAUGGUGGGAGAGCAGAUGCCUGAAAAUAUCAUUUGAGCCCCUGGGUCCAGCUGCACCUGAAGCCACCACGAUCUCCUGGACUUUGCAGUUACUUGAGUUCAUAAAUACCCUUUGGCAUUAAGCCAGAUUGAGUCUUAAUGCAUAUAGAAAUAAGAGAAAUGAGAAAAGAAAUUGAAAAGAGAGACAGCAGAGAACUGAUUCUCUACUAGAGCCUCCAGAAGGAAUCAACUCUGCCAACACCUUGAUUUUGGACUUGUGGCCUUCAGAACAGUGAAAUGAUAAACAUCUGUUAUUUUAAGGUACCUAGUGUGUAACAUUCCGUCAUGACAGCCCUAGGAAAUGAAUACAGCGAGGAAAAUCCUACCAGCACAAAGGCAUGGAGGUGCCAGGAUGUCUCCUCUGCGUGAAGAGUAGAUGUAGAUGAGGCUGGAAUUAUCUAUCCUAGCUGCCCAGACCCAUGUGCCUUUGUUUUAUGUAGUUACAGCACCUAUGAUACAUAUUUGUUACCAUGUAUGUCACUAUGAACCUCCUCUGGAGGACGGAGAAGUCAAAUACCUUAAUUAUUCCAACACAAGCUUGCGUGAACAGAUAAUCAUCACUACGAGUAUAUUGUGUGCCUGCUAAGCACCACACCUGAGAUAAGCAUUUGCUGUGGUUUGAAUGUCCCCUCCAAAGCUCAUGCUAAAAUUUAAUUGCCAUUGCAACAGUGUUGCAAGGUGAGAACUUUAAGAGAUGAUCAGGUCAUGAGAACUCUGCCCUCGUGAAUGGAUUAAUACCCUUAUCGCAGUAGUGGACCCCCCUUUUCUCUUGCUGUCUGUCUCUCAUGUUAGCUUGUGCUUCCUCCUUUCACCAUGGGAUAACACAGCAAGAAGCCCCUCACCAGAUGCUGGCACCUUGCUAUUGGACUUCCGGCCUCCAGAACUGAGAAAUACAUGUCUUUUCCUUAUAAAUUACCCAGUCUGUGGUAUUCUGUUAUAGCGGCAGAAAAUGGACUAAGACGGCAUUUUGCAUACAUUAUCUGUCUUAUUAAAAAUAAUGUUUUUGCCCAGGAACAUAGAUUCAAGUUGCCCUGAAUAUACAUUAUCUCCCUACAUUAUCUCUUUUAAUCCUCACCUAUUAGGUAGAUAAACUGCUAUUAUCC